rnacentral:misc_RNA from 1 species
GAUGAAGAACGUAGCGAAAUGCGAUAAGUAAUGUGAAUUGCAGAAUUCAGUGAAUCAUCGAAUCUUUGAACGCACAUUGCGCCCCCUGGUAUUCCGGGGGGCAUGCCUGUCCGAGCGUCAUUACAACCCUCAAGCUCAGCUUGGUGUUGGGCCCCGCCGCCCCGGCGGGCCCUAAAGUCAGUGGCGGUGCCGUCCGGCUCCGAGCGUAGUAAUUCUUCUCGCUCUGGAGGUCCGGUCGUGUGCUCGCCAGCAACCCCCAAUUUUUUUCAGGUUGACCUCGGAUCAGGGAGGGAUACCCGCUGAACUUAAGCAUAUCAAUAAGCGGAGGA